rnacentral:SRP_RNA from 1 species
GUCGGGCGGACGGUGCUGUCGCCAACCCGGUCAGGUCCGGAAGGAAGCAGCCGUAACGAAUUUUUAUCGGGUCGUUCCGGC